rnacentral:lncRNA from 1 species
GGAUCCCCAAGAUCUCCUGACACUAAGAAGACCUCCUUGAGACAUAGAGACCUCCUGGAGGUAGAAGACCGGGAUCCCCAAGAUCUCCCGGAUGCAAGACCAGGAUCCCCAAGAUCUCCUGGCAAAAGAAGACUCCCUUGAGACAUAGAGACCUCCCGGAGCAUGAAGACCAGGAUUCCCAAGAUCUCCUGGCAAAAGAAGACCUCACUGAGGUCCUAGCAAAAGAAGACCUCAAUAAGGUCACCCCGGCACAGCCAGGAUCUCGUAAGACCUCCGGAAGGUAAGAAUAGUUGGUAAAGGACUUCAGGGCCCCCCAAAGGGGGGUCGAGCUCCCAGCUCGGACCGAUAAGCCCAAGACCGAGCUCUUAGCUCGGAUAGAUUCAUUUCUUCAAAAAAUCAAAACACGAAAGCCAAAAACAAAGGCCGAGCUCCCUCCAUAGAAUAACUCAUAAAUCCUUAGGAGGAUAUUCAGGCUAUAAUCAAAAGCCUAAAUCAGUUUAUUUAAAAUAAAUAUACAAAGUCACAACGAAGAAAGAAGGACUAGAAGUCAAAAACUAGCAUGACAGUUGCCAUCAAAUGGGUACGAGAUUUGAUCUCUCAGACGACAGCUAAGAGCUGAACUCACAACUUAAGAUUAAUUUAGAGCUUCUGAAUAAACAUAUGAAGUCUACAUCACACAUACGAAGAGUAAAGAUAAAUGUCAAAGCAUACGAAAAACAAAAAGGAAAACUAAUAUUCCAUUAAUAACUAUUACAAUUUAUGUCUCCGGUGAGGAAGGAGGAUGAAUAGUCCUUAAAGGACUUACAUCAAUAAACCCACCCUCACUAUCUCUAUUUACAGCCACCCCUGAAGGAAGCUCGGUGUCCUUCGGACCAACGCUCUCAAUAGUAGGGGCAAUUUCUGACCCAGGGUGAAGGCCUUC